UGCCGAAACCCGGGAUCGAACCAGGGACCUUUAGAUAUCACUGAUAGACAAAACUUAAGGAAGUUGUACCUUAUAGCAUAUAUAUAUCGGGAUUCAGAAAAUAACUCUGAGAGAUAUUUGAUGCACAGUGAUAUAUAUCAGUGUAUUCAGUCUAAUGCUCUCCUAACUGAGCUAUUUGGGC